rnacentral:rRNA from 1 species
CCUGCCCAGAAGCAGGGGAUAACACCUGGAAACAGAUGCUAAUACCGUAUAACAGAGAAAACCGCCUGGUUUUCUUUUAAAAGAUGGCUCUGCUAUCACUUCUGGAUGGACCCGCGGCGCAUUAGCUAGUUGGUGAGGUAACGGCUCACCAAGGCGAUGAUGCGUAGCCGACCUGAGAGGGUAAUCGGCCACAUUGGGACUGAGACACGGCCCAGACUCCUACGGGAGGCAGCAGUAGGGAAUCUUCCACAAUGGACGCAAGUCUGAUGGAGCAACGCCGCGUGAGUGAAGAAGGGUUUCGGCUCGUAAAGCUCUGUUGUUAAAGAAGAACGUGGGUGAGAGUAACUGUUCACCCAGUGACGGUAUUUAACCAGAAAGCCACGGCUAACUACGUGCCAGCAGCCGCGGUAAUACGUAGGUGGCAAGCGUUAUCCGGAUUUAUUGGGCGUAAAGCGAGCGCAGGCGGUCUUUUAAGUCUAAUGUGAAAGCCUUCGGCUCAACCGAAGAAGUGCAUUGGAAACUGGGAGACUUGAGUGCAGAAGAGGACAGUGGAACUCCAUGUGUAGCGGUGAAAUGCGUAGAUAUAUGGAAGAACACCAGUGGCGAAGGCGGCUGUCUGGUCUGUAACUGACGCUGAGGCUCGAAAGCAUGGGUAGCGAACAGGAUUAGAUACCCUGGUAGUCCAUGCCGUAAACGAUGAUUACUAAGUGUUGGAGGGUUUCCGCCCUUCAGUGCUGCAGCUAACGCAUUAAGUAAUCCGCCUGGGGAGUACGACCGCAAGGUUGAAACUCAAAAGAAUUGACGGGGGCCCGCACAAGCGGUGGAGCAUGUGGUUUAAUUCGAAGCUACGCGAAGAACCUUACCAGGUCUUGACAUCUUCUGCCAACCUAAGAGAUUAGGCGUUCCCUUCGGGGACAGAAUGACAGGUGGUGCAUGGUUGUCGUCAGCUCGUGUCUGAGAUGUUGGGUUAAGUCCCGCAACGAGCGCAACCCUUAUUACUAGUUGCCAGCAUUCAGUUGGGCACUCUAGUGAGACUGCCGGUGACAAACCGGAGGAAGGUGGGGACGACGUCAAAUCAUCAUGCCCCUUAUGACCUGGGCUACACACGUGCUACAAUGGAUGGUACAACGAGUUGCGAAACCGCGAGGUUUAGCUAAUCUCUUAAAACCAUUCUCAGUUCGGACUGUAGGCUGCAACUCGCCUACACGAAGUCGGAAUCGCUAG